UGUAUAUACACACAUACAUGCAUGCGCACGCACGCAUGCACACACACACACACAGAGGGAAUGAAUAGAGGCAGAGUCUCACCCUACCUGGGAGACCUGGUGCUGUGGCAGCCCAGGUGCUGAGAUGAAGUCCUGUCCUGGCAUUGGGAGCCCUGUAGGUAUUUCUGCCCAGGGCUAGAUCCUGACACUGGUGAUGAGCCCCCAGUGCCCUUGUUCUUCCCAUGCUACAGAUACUUGCAAAUCAGUGUGCAGACCCUUAUCAGAAUCAUCACUUCUGCAUCUUGUGAUACCCACCCCCACCCUGUCCUUACCUAUGCUCCCUAGACAAACUAGGACCUCUGAGGGAAACCUCAGCCCUGUCCAUCCCUGUCUGAUGUCCAGACCAGCCAGACCAGCCUCAGCAAGUUGGAGGGAGAACUGUGAACAUAUGUGGAAUUCAGGUGUGCUGUGGUAAAGUGCUUCCCUGGCAUGGGCAAAUCCCUGGGUUUCAUCCCCGGCAUUGCGUAAGCCAGUGUGAUGGUGCACAUCUGUCAUCUCAGCAUUUGGGAGGUAGAGACGGGAGGAUCAGAAGUUCAAGGUCGCGCUUGGCUGCAGAACAUCCAAGGCCAGCUUGGACUACUUGAGACUCUCAAGAAAACCACACACCCAAAGGUUUUUUUAAAAAAUUGUAGUAAGGAUUUGGACAUCCUCAUGAAGCGACCUCACAGCCUCCUUAGGGGCUCACAGUGUCUGGGGGACUUCUCCGGACUCUGGAGAGCAGACCAGUUUAAUUCUGGUCUGUUCUCCAGCAGAUUAGCUUUUAAGGCCAGUGAAAGACACUUCUUUUUCCCAGUAACUUCAACCUUAGCAGCCAAUCGAUUAACUCAUAUCGAUCAAGUCUUUCCAUUUCAACAGAGAGGAUCAUGCAGGAAUCCACAAGAUGCUGUGAACGUGGCAUCCAAACUGCGGGCUUGCCCAGCCGCAGGGCAACACCAGCCUUGCAGAACCUGAGCCCAAGACAGCCAGCGCCACCUAGUGGAUGAACUGGGAAGAGCACGUGCACCUGCACUGAGCUCCCUUCAGAGGGAGGGAAGGCAGCCCAGGCCCUUCCCAGAGGUGCAGCUGGCGCCGGCAGGAGGCGCCUUGUAGAUGGGAAUUAAAGGAGGGGCAUCCAGGGUCCUCGGGGAGAACUCGUGCCCCACCCUGUCCCUUCACUUUCCCAGGUAUCUAAUCCAGCAGACGUGACUUGACCCACCCCUUCCAUCUUCCUUGAGUGAUGCCUGGGGAAGCCGCUCCCUCACAGUACAUUCCAGAAGAAAUUCAAGUAGAAUCUGCGAGGGUCCAUUCAUGAGGGUGGAGACCACAACCCUCCCCCUGACCAGGGAGUGGGGAAGUGUCUGAGUCUCACAGUUGGGAGACACGGCCAGCCCUCAAGACCACGGCCCCACAGAGCUAGGCUGAGCCGGGAGGCAGACUCCACCUGGCAGCAGCCUCCAGGAGAAGUGAGGAGAUGGCCAGAGUCUCCAGGUGUCAGAGCCCCUGGCAGAUGUGAGAACGAGCCUGUUGGCCUGACAUUCUGGGAGGCUUGGCAUCACUGCCGCCAUUUUGAGGACCUAACAAGAGCAUCUUUCCAUUCCCUGAGGGGAGGCGUCCCCAGGCAGCACAUCAUCUAUUUCUCUGGAAAGCUUCCGCCCACCUCUGAGCACAGGACCAGGAAGAAGGAAGCAGAGCCCCACAGGAAGGAGGAGCAGUUUGAAAACUGUAGGGUUCCUGGUGAGCAGGUGGUGGCGCUGUUUGCGCAGACUAUGGACCCUUUACGAGGUGUGGCCUUGCUGGCAGAAGCACAUCACUGGGGUGGGCUUUGAGAGUUCAUACCCUUGGCCCACAUCCAGUUUGCUCUCUGCUUCCUGUGUGUGUUUGAAGAUGUGAGUUCUCCGAUUCCUGUUCCAGUGCCUGCUGCCACGCCUCCCCGCCAUUAUGGGCUCUCCUUCUGGAACCAUAAUCCCAAAUAAACUCUUC